CUGGAGUCAAUGAAGGGAUGUAUGGAGCAGUGAAGAGGUGACUGGAGCAGUGACGAUUUGACUGGUGCAAGGAGGGGGUGACUGGAGGCAAUAAGGAGCUAUCUGGAGUGACUGGAGUCAAUGAGGAGGUGACUGGAGUCAAUGAGGAGAUGACUGGAGGCAAUGAGGGGGUGACUGGAGAAAUCUAGGAGUGUCUUCAGCAAUGAGGGGGUGUCAGGAGCAAUGAUGAGGUGACUGGAGGCAAUAAGGAGCUAUCUGGAGUGACUGGAGUCAAUGACGGGGUGACUGGAGUCAAUGAGGAGGUGACUGGAGCAAUCUGGG